UACGGAGGGUGCAAGCGUUAUCCGGAUUUACUGGGUUUAAAGGGUGCGUAGGCGGGUUUUUAAGUCAGGGGGUGAAAUCCUGGAGCUCAACUCCAGAACUGCCUUUGAUACUGAAGAUCUCGAGUCCGGGAGAGGUGAGUGGAACUGCGAGUGUAGAGGUGAAAAUUCGUAGAUAUUCGCAGAACACCAGUGGCGAAGGCGGACUCACUGGCCCGGUACUGACGCUGAGGCACGAAGCGUGGGGAGCAAACAGGA
rnacentral:rRNA from 1 species